ACUUUAUUUAUGACAGCUGCUGGAACCUCGCCGGCUUUCUGCACUCCGCGGUUCAUGAGAAGGAGCGCAGACUAAUGACACCUGGAUAUGUCCCACCAAGCUGCCACAGCCAAUUACUGAGGCAAAAGUGAGUUUAUGUUGGGAAUGUGGGAACGUUUUGGGAUCAGUUCUCCAGCCCACCUAAGCAGCACAGAGAACCAGAGGAGGUAAAUCGAUUAAAAUCCCAUUAAAGUCAGAACCAUCACCGUGGUCAUUACCACGGAGGAGAGACGACCGGCGAUGACGGCGGAUCAAAGAGGAUCUAAUUAAUUCAUUUACACACUCUGCUUAUACUGCAGUCUAAUGGGAAGUCCUGCUUUAAGUGAAACAUCUCAGCAGAAACUUCAGAAGCUGAGAUGGAAAUAUGAAGCUCAUCAAAGACAAGCUACUAUUCAGAUUAUCUUAACGAUGCUGAAACAAAGUGCAGCACUGCAAAAACACGGAAUCUUACCAACUAUUUUUCCCCAGUUUUAGUCUUUUCCUGACUAACAUUUCCUCUCCUUCACUGCAAAAACACAAAAUCGUAAUCUUGAAACAAGACAAAAACCAUCCACAAGUAACUUUUUAACAAGAAAUAGCAACUUAUUUUAAAUAAAAAAUAAUCCUUAAUAUUGAUGAAAAAGUAGUUCUAUUGGCAGAUUAUGUCAUUUGUAACAUGGAAAAAUGUCUUGUUAUAAGUGAAAUAACCUGGGCGUGCUGUGGCAGCGUGGGGGAUAGCGCGACCCACCCUUGGAGGCCUUGGGUCCUCAACGCGGCGUCACGGGUUCGAUUCCCGGACCCGGCGACAUUUGCCGCAUGUCUUCCCCUCUCUCUCUCCCUCUUUCCUGUCAGCCUGCCGUCAUGUAAGGGACACUAGAGCCCACAAAAGACCCCCUGGAGGGGAAGAAGAAAUAAUAAGUGAAAUAAUCUCCCAAGGAAAGUCGUACUUUUUCAUCAAUAUUAAGAAAUUAUUGUACAAAACAAGCUCCUUUACGCUUUGCUGAAAAGUUACUUAUAACACCACAAAAAGAAGACGUGAUCCAAUUUUAAAAAAUGUUAAUUUCCUACAACUAAUCAAAUUAAGUUUAUCCAAGUAAAUAUGUUUAGUUGUCAUGUUAAACAAAUGUAAACAGUGUGACAAAUGUAAUUUGAUUAUUUACAACAAAUUAUCUACAUUUUUUUAAAUUGGAGCUCCAUUCACUUUUUUUUUUCCAGUGAAGUUAGUUCUGACUUAUUUCAGCUGUACUAGAAACAAGACCAAAUUCACUCAGAUUUUGUUUUUUUGCAGUGAAGUAAAGAAAAUGUUUGCAGCUUUGGGUGUUAGUUGGCUGUAGAAAAAAAUCCAAAAAGGGGAGAAAAGCCAGAAAACCGCAUGAGGAAAGGAUAAAAAAGUCCAAAAAAGGAAAAUUUCCCAGCUUCAUCUCCCACCAGUGGAGCUGUGAUUAGGGAACAACAGACUGUGAUGAGUAUCGAUCCGCUCUCAGAUGGCUUCAGGGACUAGAGGCAUGACAGAAACAUGCCAUGUUGCUUCCUCAACCC